ensembl:lncRNA
GUCCUGUUUCUAAUGACGUAGCUGAAUUGGAAAGACACGUGGUUCCAGCAGAAAUUGACAAUUGGGUGUGGUAAGGAGGUAGAGGGCAUAGGAGCUUGAACCAUGAAGUCAGCUGGAAAUUGCUGAAAUAACGUCAAAAAACGUAAAGCUGAUCAAUCACAUUGAAACGCGGCGUGCCGCUGUCUGCUGCGGGUCCAAUCAGGAGGCACCGUGCACCCCGCUAUCAAGCGCAGCAGCACUUCGGCACGUGGACAUCCAAAGGCAUGAGGAGAAAAAGCUCGGUCACAGCAGCAUGACCAUUUCAACAAGGACUUAAUAUUACUUCCAAAUCCAUCAUGGGGAAUAGUGUGCAGAC